rnacentral:rRNA from 1 species
AAAUUGAAGAGUUUGAUCAUGGCUCAGAUUGAACGCUGGCGGCAGGCCUAACACAUGCAAGUCGAACGGUAACAGGAAUCAGCUUGCUGAUUCGCUGACGAGUGGCGGACGGGUGAGUAAUGUCUGGGAAACUGCCUGAUGGAGGGGGAUAACUACUGGAAACGGUAGCUAAUACCGCAUAACGUCGCAAGACCAAAGAGGGGGACCUUCGGGCCUCUUGCCAUCGGAUGUGCCCAGAUGGGAUUAGCUUGUUGGUGGGGUAACGGCUCACCAAGGCGACGAUCCCUAGCUGGUCUGAGAGGAUGACCAGCCACACUGGAACUGAGACACGGUCCAGACUCCUACGGGAGGCAGCAGUGGGGAAUAUUGCACAAUGGGCGCAAGCCUGAUGCAGCCAUGCCGCGUGUAUGAAGAAGGCCUUCGGGUUGUAAAGUACUUUCAGCGGGGAGGAAGGGAGUAAAGUUAAUACCUUUGCUCAUUGACGUUACCCGCAGAAGAAGCACCGGCUAACUCCGUGCCAGCAGCCGCGGUAAUACGGAGGGUGCAAGCGUUAAUCGGAAUUACUGGGCGUAAAGCGCACGCAGGCGGUUUGUUAAGUCAGAUGUGAAAUCCCCGGGCUCAACCUGGGAACUGCAUCUGAUACUGGCAAGCUUGAGUCUCGUAGAGGGGGGUAGAAUUCCAGGUGUAGCGGUGAAAUGCGUAGAGAUCUGGAGGAAUACCGGUGGCGAAGGCGGCCCCCUGGACGAAGACUGACGCUCAGGUGCGAAAGCGUGGGGAGCAAACAGGAUUAGAUACCCUGGUAGUCCACGCCGUAAACGAUGUCGACUUGGAGGUUGUGCCCUUGAGGCGUGGCUUCCGGAGCUAACGCGUUAAGUCGACCGCCUGGGGAGUACGGCCGCAAGGUUAAAACUCAAAUGAAUUGACGGGGGCCCGCACAAGCGGUGGAGCAUGUGGUUUAAUUCGAUGCAACGCGAAGAACCUUACCUGGUCUUGACAUCCACAGAACUUUCCAGAGAUGGAUUGGUGCCUUCGGGAACUGUGAGACAGGUGCUGCAUGGCUGUCGUCAGCUCGUGUUGUGAAAUGUUGGGUUAAGUCCCGCAACGAGCGCAACCCUUAUCCUUUGUUGCCAGCGGUCCGGCCGGGAACUCAAAGGAGACUGCCAGUGAUAAACUGGAGGAAGGUGGGGAUGACGUCAAGUCAUCAUGGCCCUUACGACCAGGGCUACACACGUGCUACAAUGGCGCAUACAAAGAGAAGCGACCUCGCGAGAGCAAGCGGACCUCAUAAAGUGCGUCGUAGUCCGGAUUGGAGUCUGCAACUCGACUCCAUGAAGUCGGAAUCGCUAGUAAUCGUGGAUCAGAAUGCCACGGUGAAUACGUUCCCGGGCCUUGUACACACCGCCCGUCACACCAUGGGAGUGGGUUGCAAAAGAAGUAGGUAGCUUAACCUUCGGGAGGGCGCUUACCACUUUGUGAUUCAUGACUGGGGUGAAGUCGUAACAAGGUAACCGUAGGGGAACCUGCGGUUGGAUCACCUCCUUA